ACGGGUGAGUAACGCGUGGGAAUCUACCCAUCUCUACGGAAUAACGCAUGGAAACGUGUGCUAAUACCGUAUACGUCCUUCGGGAGAAAGAUUUAUCGGAGAUGGAUGAGCCCGCGUUGGAUUAGCUAGUUGGUGGGGUAAAGGCCUACCAAGGCGACGAUCCAUAGCUGGUCUGAGAGGAUGAUCAGCCACACUGGGACUGAGACACGGCCCAGACUCCUACGGGAGGCAGCAGUGGGGAAUAUUGGACAAUGGGCGCAAGCUUGAUCCAGCCAUGCCGCGUGAGUGAUGAAGGCCCUAGGGUUGUAAAGCUCUUUCACCGGUGAAGAUAAUGACGGUAACCGGAGAAGAAGCCCCGGCUAACUUCGUGCCAGCAGCCGCGGUAAUACGAAGGGGGCUAGCGUUGUUCGGAUUUACUGGGCGUAAAGCGCACGUAGGCGGACUAUUAAGUCAGGGGUGAAAUCCCGGGGCUCAACCCCGGAACUGCCUUUGAUACUGGUAGUCUUGAGUUCGAGAGAGGUGAGUGGAAUUCCGAGUGUAGAGGUGAAAUUCGUAGA
rnacentral:rRNA from 1 species